rnacentral:lncRNA from 10 species
GACCCACUCACACAGAGAAAGCCUCGCUGGAGUGUCAGAGGCUUGGGCAGGAGAUAAUUCGCCGUUGUGCUUGGAAAAUCCUGCAGUUGUACCUGCAACAGGCACCUGAGGAGGCUGGGCAAAUAUUAAUAUAUAAUACUUACUGAGUGCUUCCUAUGAACUAGGACCUCUGAGAAGAGAUUUAUGUGCAGACCUCCUCUAACCUUUCCAGCAGCCCAUGAGAUGCAAAAGAAAGACUUCUGGAUUCACAAAGCUCAUUUACUCAAAGAGGAGAUCCAAAAUAAGUGGAAAAGAUACUUACAGAGAAGUCAGGAAGAUCAUGGGUCGAUGGCGUAAAAUACAACUAAUAAGAGAAUCACCACGCAGGGUCUAUAUCAAAAGGUCAAAGACCAUGACGUCCCAGGCAUCGCCAGCCAGAAAGCUGCCAUGGAGCCUUCAUUGAACCCUUACCAUGGGACAGCCACUGAGCUAAGAGCAUUGCAUGCAUGAGCUCACAUAAUCCUCACAACACCAAAUGGAGAUAUCAUUAGCUCCAUUUCACAGAAGAAGCAAUCAAGGUUUACAGACAAUAGAGAACCUGGCAAAGUCAUCCAGCCUGUGUGUGGUAGAAGAAGAUUUGAAUUAAAUACUUUCCGCCUCCAAAGUCCUUGCUGUUAACUGAGCCGUGCUGCCUCCCAGAUGGUCACAGUCAUUGCUCCCUUCAUCUGAAUUUCCUCUUCUCUGUGCAUGCUUUUUCUCACAUGGGGCAUCAUUCUAUAUGGCCAUUCUGGGACACACUUCUUUUUAUGUCUGUACCAUCCACCAAGUCCUUGAAGUACUCUGCCACUUACUCUGCAUCCAGCUCUCAGAAAAGGCAAGAGAGACCGUGUAGAAGAUACCAUGGGAAGUUUCAAAAGUCCAGGCCUGGAAGUGGCAUUGUACAUUACAACCACCCACGUUUCAAUGGCAAAAACAAAGUCACAUGACCACAUCUACAGCAAAGGAUAUUGAAUUGUGUAGAUUGGUUUGUGUAAGACUGGAAUCAACAUUUAUCUGAAUGUUUGAUAAAUCUUUCUGAUAAAAUCAUCUAAACCAAAUUUUUUGUUAUUAGGAAAAAUUUUAACUAUUGUUUAACUAAAAAAUCAAUUACAUUAAGGUUUUUGAAAUUUAUUGGCAUAAGUAUUUUCAGAGAAAUCUCUCAUAUUUUAAAAUCUUUGCCAUGUCAAUUGUUAUGUCCUCUUUUCAUGCUUAAUUUAUUUGUGACUUCUCUUUUUUCCUCGAUCAAAAAAUCAGCUUUGGUAUUUAUUAAUCCUGAAUAUCAUUUCCUAUCUCAUUAAUUUCUUCUCAAGUCUUUAUUAUUGCCUUCCUUUGACAUUUUGGGUUUGAUAUAUUGUGACUCCUCUAAUUCUGGCAUUAUCGUAACAACAUUUUUCUAAUAUUAAGCAUUUUCACUUCUAAGUUUCCUUUUGAUUAUCACUUUAGCUGAUUCCUACACAUUUGUAUAUGAAGUAUUUUAAUUAGUAAGUUUAAAAAUAUUGUAACUUCCACUCUGAUUGCUUUCAUGGAUUGUUUUAGUUUGUUUGCUGGUGCUAUAAUGAAUCCCUCAAAUUGGGUAAUUUAUAAAGAAGAGAAAUUUAUUUUCUCACAAUUCUGGAGACUGGGAAGUCCAAGAUCAAAGCACCAGUAGUUAGCAAGUGUCUUCUUGCUGCUUUAUCACAUGGUGGAAGGGCAAAGAGGCAAAAGGGGCCAAACUCAUCCUUUUAUAAUGGCAUUAAUCCUACCCAUGAGAGUAGAGUCUUUAUGCCCCAAUCAUCUCUUAAAUGUCCCACCUCCCAACACCACUGCAAUGGUAAUCAAAUUCCAUGAGUUUUGGAGGGGACAAACAUGCAAACCAUCACAUGGACAAGUUAAGUUAAUUAUUAGAACCGUCUCCCAUUAAAAUUCCACGUUUGGACUUUUUUGCAGUAAACUUCUUGUGUGUUUUAAAAUUUUUUACUUAAUUAUAUUAGGGUUAGAUAGUAUGAUUUCUAUAAUAGAAAUACUUUGACACUGACUGAGACUUGCUUUAAGGGCUUAGUAUGUGGUCAGUCUUUAUAAAUACUCCAUGUGCCUUUUAAAGGAAGAUUCAUUCUAAAUUUGCUGGUUGCAGGGUUCUACAUUAUUUCCGUCAGAUCAAACAUGUUAAUUGUUUUACUGAAACUUAUAUCCUUUAGUAAGUUUUUGCCUACUUAUUCAACCAAUAUG